UUGAGAAGGUUUGGAAGGUUUGAUAGGGAGAUAGACAUUGGUGUCCCAGAUGAAGUUGGGCGCCUUGAAGUUCUACGAAUCCAUACAAAGAAUAUGAAACUCUCUGAUGAGGUUGAUCUGGAAAGGAUUGCAAAAGAUACCCAUGGUUAUGUUGGUGCUGACCUUGCUGCCCUAUGUACUGAAGCUGCACUCCAGUGCAUCAGAGAGAAGAUGGAUGUGAUUGACUUGGAAGACGAUUCUAUUGAUGCUGAGAUACUUAAUUCCAUGGCGGUUACCAAUGAGCACUUCCAAACUGCCCUUGGAACAAGCAACCCAUCUGCUUUACGUGAAACAGUUGUUGAAGUGCCCAAUGUUAGCUGGGAUGACAUUGGUGGUCU
rnacentral:misc_RNA from 1 species